AGGUGGUGGUGGAAAGGAGGGUUGCGGGUGACAGCUAGAGGCGUGCCUGUGGAUGUGGCAGAGGACAACGACGCUGAUGGUGUUUAAAAAUUAGGGUUUUCGGAUGAGCUUAAGUUUUUGGGCUUUCGGGCUUUAGGUUCUUUGAUUUUUUGUAAAUGGAAUUUUAGUUAGUGGACCUUUUUAUUAUUUUUAUUUGUUUUUUUGUUUUUUUGUUGGGCCAGAAAAAUUUGGGCCUCUACAACUGACAAAGAAGGUUAAAG
rnacentral:lncRNA from 1 species